rnacentral:rRNA from 1 species
GAUCCAGACUCCUACGGGAGGCAGCAGUGAGGAAUAUUGGUCAAUGGUCGGGAGACUGAACCAGCCAAGCCGCGUGAGGGAUGAAGGUACAGAGUAUCGUAAACCUCUUUUGUCAGGGAACAAAGGCGGGGACGUGUCCCCGGAUGAGUGUACCUGAAGAAAAAGCAUCGGCUAACUCCGUGCCAGCAGCCGCGGUAAUACGGAGGAUGCGAGCGUUAUCCGGAUUUAUUGGGUUUAAAGGGUGCGUAGGCGGAGUGUCAAGUCAGCGGUAAAAUUGCGGGGCUCAACCCCGUCGUGCCGGUGAAACUGACACCCUUGAGUGAGUGAGAAGUAAGCGGAAUGCGUGGUGUAGCGGAGAAAUGCAUAGAUAUCGCGCAGAACUCCGAUUGCGAAGGCAGCAUACCGGCGCCCAACUGACGCUGAAGCACGAAAGCGUGGGUAUCGAACA